UCGAGGUUAGGCAACUGGGAAAGUGAGCUUGGUAUUGGGCCUGAGAGGUUGUUGGCGGAAAGGUAAAGUAGCUGGAGAUUUUUAAGUUGGCCCAAGAAAGAUGGUAUCGGGCCUGAGACACCGGUAUAUUCGAUAAAAAGGUACUUUAGUUUUGUGAGCUUGGCGAUAGUGGGCUGAAUUGGGCCUGUGAGCCUGGAAAGUUUAUGGAAUUCGAGGUUUUCGAGAUAUGGGAGGUCACCGAUGGACGGGGNNNNNNNNNNNNNNNNNNNNNNNNNNNNNNNNNNNNNNNNNNNNNNNNNNNNNNNNNNNNNNNACGGGGGUAUGUGGCCCGAGAGAUUUGUGUCUGGCACAGAAGAUUUCAUAAUUAAGGCCGUGAUACGAUGCGUUUUGAUGUCGCACUUGACGCAAUACCAAUCACAACAGUCCGUUUGUGGAUUCCAUGAGGCUAGAAAGUAAGGGUUGUUGAGUUCCUUCUUGAAUCUGAGGAGUACCUUCUUGUCUUGAGGGUUACAUUUCUCAGAUGCAACUGGGGACAGUAGUAGUAGUGAGAGGAGACAUAAUGCUAGAACCAUUGCAGUUCCACCAAACUCGGUUCUCAUUUUUUGUUGUAAUUUGAACUUUAAUGGUAGGGCAGUGGGGUGGGAGAGAAUUGAUGGAACAUUGGUACUUAUAGGAAUAAUAAUGAGAAACACAUGACUUGUUAGUGUCCUGCAAUAAAAUAAACGGUAAUGCUAAACAGUGCCCUUGGGACACUAAUUAAACAUAUUAAAAAAAAAAAUAAAUGAUAAAGUAAAUAAUGGGAGAGAAUAACUUUUCACUUCAUUAAAACAUUGAAUGCACAAUUUACGAGAUAAAACUUCUAUAUUUGUAUCCGGAGGCACUGUUUAGCAUUUUUCCUAAAAUAAAAUAAUGAAUUACUGUAUAUAUUUAUGUCAAUAUCAAUUUUCUGUGCAUGCUUCAUCGUAACAUUGUGAAAGUUGUAAAUAGUACUUCUAUAACAAGUAAAUAAAGUCUAAAAAUAUAUUAUAUUUUAAAGAAUUGGAAAAAAUAAUUAAAAGAAAUUAAUUAGUCACUUGAACUCAAUAUAUUGAUAUAUUGUUUAUGUAAAAUUUUACAAUGUUACAACUAUCAUAAAUAUAAUUUUGGUAGAACUCGUUAUAAGUUUUAUAUGUGGUCAAGAUUAUAUAUGUUACUCAAAUACUAUAUCCGGUCAUAAAUAUAAGAGGAAAUUUACUUUUUAGAUUCAUUGAGAAUUUAAUGUAUCUGGUUCAUAAUAUGAACUAGAUGCAUUAGAUUCUCAAUGAAUCUAAAAAUCAAAAUUUCUCUUAUAUUUAGGACCCGAGAGAGUAUAAGUAUAUUGAUUAAUUAAUAUAUUUGAAAUAUAUUGUCAUAUAUUUUGUCCUUGAUUAUAUGUUACUCCCUAUGUGAUCAAAUACAUUAAUUAUCAUUGAUCGUUAGUUGAUUCAGUGAUGAUUGAUGCUGAACUUGGUGUAGGGAGUUCCACUGUUCGAUACCAGAUUAAACUUAUGGUAAAAGAAAAAAAACAAAACAUUAAUUAUUAAGUAAAUUUAAAAGGAUGAAUUUUACGUAUAUUUUGUUAGGGAGGAAGAUAUUUGGAUUCUCUUUGAUUUUCCUAAAAUAUAUUUAACUUAGAAAGCGAAAAUAUUGUAUAUCUAAUUGUAUUUAUGCGUGUUGUAAAAUAAAAAUACCUUAAAGUUUUGCUUAAAUAUAAAAAAUGUGAAAAAUUAAAACUUUAGAGAAUUAUGAUAAUUUUUGGAAAAUGCUAAACCGAGCACUAGUAAGGCAUAUUAAUAAGAAAAUUUUAGGCAAAAUUACAUUGUAUGUCCUUUAUUUUAUUUUUUUUGUAACACUUUGGUCCUUUAUGUUUUUUUUGUAACACUUUGGUCCUUUAUCAUUUCUUUUGUAACAUUUUGGUCCUUUAUCUUUUUUUAUAACACUUUGGUCCUUUAUUUUUUUUUAUUUGUAACAUAUAGGUCAUUUAUUUUUUAUAAAUAAAUAAGAUAAAGAACUAAAAUGUUAUAAAAAAAAAGACUAAAGUGUUACAAAUAAAAAAAGAUAAAAACUAAAGUGUUACAAAAAAAAAAUAAAGGAUCAAAGUGUUACAAAAAAAAGAUAAAGGAUUAAAUUGUUACAGAGAAAAGUUAAAAGAUCAAAGUNNNNNNNNNNNNNNNNNNNNNNNNNNNNNNNNNNNNNNAAGUGUUAAAAAAAAAAAAAAAGUGCAAAAAAAUUAUUUUUCUAUCCUUAAUUUUAUCUUUAAUUUUCAUUUUUAAUAUGAUUAAUAAAUAAAUGUCCUGAAUAUACUAUUUAGCCUGACCCAUAAUUUAUUUAUUAUAAAUAUAGUCAAAACAUAAACUACUUUAUAUAGUACGCAUUUAUUUUCUUAUACACAUCUUUUGAUAUGAGGAAGUACGUACUACUGUGCUAUACGACAAGUUAAAAGUGGUUUUGGCCCAACCAAAAUCUGUACUUGUACUUUACUCAUUUGUCUACACUAUGAUUAUGGGCUUUAUCCUUUCAUAAGAGAUCACGACUCACGAGGUGGGUUGUUCCAAUUCAAUUAUUGCGUGUAGCAGUGCCAUUUUCCUAUCACUGAGCUGUAUGGCAGUGAAGUAAGUAUACGUACCCUUCUACCAAAAUAAUUGUUUCAUUGAAAAUUGAAAAUGUCAAUUGUUUUGAGACUAAUGUUACGGUUCACAAUUUUUUUAAUAAAAAUAUGUUAUUUUAGAAAGGAGAGAGUGCAUUAUUAAACACAAAUGGUUUCCAAUGGUUUGUGUUGGGAUAGUGGGAGAUAUUUUUAGAUGGUCAUUUGAUUAAAGAUAUUAUAUUUGGUCACACUCAUAAAAUAAAAUAAGUNNNNNNNNNNNNGAGGGAGUGUUGAUGAAUAGUUGAGAAGUUUCAUUAAAUUUAUUGGUCAAGAAAAUGCUUAUGUGGUGGAGCUUUAGGGGUGCUAGUGCUAGAGGGCCUCAUUAGGGAGCUUAAUUUUUGAGUGGAAUUAGUAGUAGCAUUUAAGCUAGAUCUCUUGUUGAGAAAAUUCGUCAGUUUCUAGACUUGGAAUGGGACAAUCGUAGUUCAUUACUCUUAGAUUAUAUAAGAAACUAGUACAAUUGUAGCUCAACUUAGCAAUUUUUUUCUUCUUAAAAAAGGUUACAAAGAUGACAUUUAAGUCAUUCCAACUUAAUACCCCAAAUAAGUCACUAAGAAUGAUACAAGAAAAUAUAAAAAUUUAUCUGUCUCUUUAAAAACCUUAUCAAAGAUUCAAAAAGAGUACAUAGAUAAACUAAAGUACUAAACAUAAAUUCUUAUUCUUAGUUAUAAUCUCAUUGAGACAUGAGAUUCUUAGUAUUAUUAGCAAGUUUUCAUAAUCACUUGCAUUUUGAAAGUGGUGCUCCACACAAACACUUGUUAUGAAGAUAAGCAUACUUAUCAAAAUUAUCCUGCAAUCUUUUCGUCCCACCUUGAGGUAUCUGACCACACAACUUAUUAUAACUCACAUUAAACUGUUGCAAUUCCACUUUCGCCAAUUCAACCGGAAGCUUACCAUAAAUGUUAUUAUGAUUAAUAUCCAACCAUAUCAAACUCUUAAUCGGAAAUUGAACUUUCGAAAAAUCAAACGACAAUAAAUUCCUCGAAAUGUCAAUCUUUUGUGUCUUUUUCUUGCUCCCGAAAAGCACGGAAGCAUCGCCUACGAGCUUGUUCCUCGACAAGUCUAUCCUCUCUGGGUCAAUUUGGCCCAAUGAGGUUGGAAUAGUUCCAGAAAGCUGGUUGCGGGAUAGAAUAAUAUCUGGCCCGGGCUUUUUAAAUGAACCAAAUGAUUCUGGAAUUGUGCCCGUGAGCUUGUUUCCGUCCAAGCGUAAGGAAGUGAGUUUAGGCAAUUGAGAAAGUGAGCUUGGUAUUGGGCCUGAGAGGUAGUUGCCAGUAAGGUGAAGAAGUAUGAGGUUUUUAAGUUGGGCCAAAAAAGGCGGUACUGGGCCUGAGACAUUGGUAUAUUCGAUAAAAAGAUAUUUUAAAUUUUUGAGCUUAGCGAUUGUGGGCGGAAUUGGGCCUGUGAGAUAAGGUAGUCUAUGGAAUGAGAGACUUUGGAGGUAAGGUAGGUCACCUACCGAAGGAGGGAUAUGGCCCGUAAGAUUGGUGAAUACAGGGCUAUCUCUAAUAGAGAGGGAGAUUAUACGGUCUGUUAUUUCAUCACAUUGGAUGAGGUACCAGCCACAACAAGGUGUUUUUGGAUCCCAUGAGGCUAGAAGGUAAGGGUUGUUAAGAUCUUUUUUGAUUUGGAGUAACACUUUCUUAUCUUGUGAGUUGCAAUCUUUUAUUGGUGUAAUUGGUGUAAUUGGCAUGACAGAGAGAGAUUGAGAGGAUUGUGGAGGAGACGAUCCAAAUCCAAGUGGAGAGAGUGACAAAAGGGAGAGGAGGGUGAGAGUGAGAGCUAUUGUAGCUCUACAAAACAUGGUUUCUAUUUUUGGUUGGAAUAUUAUAAUGUUGAAUGAUACUAUUAAGUGGGAGAAUUGGUGUUUUUAUAGAAUUUAAUUAGAAAAACAUGCUAAACGUGACUUAUUAGUAUGGUGUGGAAGAAAACAGUGUAUGGAUAAGGGAAAGAUUUUUACUGACAAAAAGAUAAGGAAAAUCUAAAAUGGAAUGAUUGUGUAUUUUUGUUUGUUCUCUAUGGUAAAUACUAGUGGUAAAUAUUAUGCUCAGUCCAACUUAUUUCUAACUUAUUAGUAAUUCAUAAUGUUAAAAUAAAUUGUUUCUCUUUCAUGCUUUUCACUUUAUACAUAUUUUAAAAAUAUAUAAAAUAUCAUAUGACAACAAAUUUUUCAUAUUCAAAUAUCAUUUUUUUUUUUAUGAAACAUAUGUAAGUAUAGAAAGUAAAAAUUAUAAACGAAAUAGAAAAAAAAAUAAAAAUACUAUAUGUUAUCAAAUUCUAAAUAUGUGUGAAUUUUUUAGUUGAUGUCAUAUAUACCUCAUCAACUAAGUCUUUGGUUGAUGAUGUGUUCAAAGGUAAAACCGGUGGUUUACAUGGGCACACCGCACAUGGUUAUUCUUUACAUAUGUACUUCCAUCUGUGACAAUAUAAAUUAAGAAUAUAAAAAGUAUUUAACCGUGCAUAAAUCAAUAUUUUUAAUAAAAAGCAUGUGUUUCUAUCUUGCAGAACUUUUGGUUCUCUUUGGCCUCUUGUCAGUUUGUGGAUUGACUCCUCUCUAGUGACUGCUCAGGCUAUUUCGGAUCACUUUAUUCAAUUUACUAUUUCAGUAGGGGUUUCUUGUGCACGACGUUCAUUCAUGCAACUCAUAUGACUUGCUUGCGUGUGGGUUGUGUGGACUGAACGAAACCAUUGAUUGUUUAGAGGCUCGACACAUUCAGUAAUCAGAUGUUGGACAAGAUUAGGUCUUUCUCUUAUAGGUGGUUAAAAGCGACGAGUAGUACUUUAGUUUUGAACAGCAAUAAUUGAUGGUCUAGUCCUAUGUUUUGUUUGGACCUUGUAUAAUUUUCCUUAUGAUUUUAUUUUUUGUAUUUUGAUCUCUCUUGUAACUUUAUAAUCUCUCUUGACACACCUUAUAUUAAGUAGAUUACUUUUUAUAUAUACAUAUGUCAUUUUGAUUUGUUAAAAAGAAAUAUUUUUUUUACACAUAGAUUUGAGAUAGUACUACUGUACGGGUACUAUACAAUAGUAUCCGAUAAAGGAGUUAAAGUUGUAACCAAGAAAAAAAGAUAAAGGAGUUAAAGUGGCUUUCGUCCCACCAAAAUUUGUACUCACUCAUUUUGUCUACACUUUCAUCAAUAAUGUUUUCUUUUUAGGCCUCUCAUAUAUCUUUUAUAUCCCCAAAUAUUUUAAUUUUGCUCUUGCUAAAAACUUCGGUUCGUAAAAAUCGAAAUUUUUUCUAGUUCAAAUUCAGGGAAAGUUCGGUUAACAAAGAUCGAAAAAAAAUUUCAAGGCAAAAAAAAUUUGGUUCGUAACAACCAAAAUUUUUAUUAAAGGGUAAAAAUAUAAAAUUCAGAAGGGAAAAAUGAACCAUGACGAACCUAAAGAGAAAACAUCUUCAUCAAUCAUCAUGGGCUUCAGGGAUUGUGUUCUUCAAUUUUCAUAAGAGGUCACAUGGUGGGUUGUUCAACUUCAAUUAUUGCUUGUAGCAGUGCCAUUUUCCUACUAUCACUAUGCUUUUAUGCCAUGCAUGCUGUAUCGCAAAGAAGUACUAUAUGAUGGUGGAUUUACUCCUUUCCUCCCAAAAUAGAUCAUUGAAUACACCACGUACCUUCAGUUAAUGAGCACGCUACCUUCAGUUUUGAACUUCAUUAAUUAACCACAAGUUUUUUAGUUAUUGAUCAAGUAUACAUUUUUUAUUGACACUAGUUAUUCAAGUAUACAUGAUUUAGAUAUGUUUGAAUAUAUAAUAUGAUAUUUAACAAAUUAAAUGAUUGAACUCAAGUGAUUAAUAAGGAUUAUUUAAGGAACAAAUUGUUGAAAAGAACUUUAGUUUGAUUUUUGAGUGAUAUCAUUUUUGUCUGACAUUACUUACGUGUCUCAAAUUUGCAUUAGGGAGUUGCUAAAUUUUACGAAGGAGUGUCAUAAGAAAGACAAGAAUUGUAUGUGUAUACUUGAACAAAUAAAAUUAAAGGUGCGAAGUAGGUAUUUUUGAGUGAUAUUAUUUUUGUCUGACAUUACUUACUCGUCUCAAGAUUUUUAGUAUGUGUAUAGUUUAAAUCAGCGGCACAUAUUCAUUCUUGCUUUUCGUCUCCACAAAGCUUCGUAAAGACCAACAUUUUCCUUUGCAUUAACAUGAUCUCUUUCUUCUAGAAACUCGAGAGUUUUACACACACAAAAAAAAAACACACCAUAAUAUUCAUUAAACACUUGACAUUGUAGUUCAAAUAUGCACUUGAAAAUCAUAGUUAAUUAUGUAAAAUAGAUGGUUAAUGAGUUACAACACUUUCUUAAAUUCAUUAAUCAACCACAUAUUUAAAUUGCAUUAACACUUAAAUUAUUGUUGAAUUUUAAUUUCAAAUUAAAUAUUAUUUCUUUUCAAUUUCUUUUUACGGUUUCUAAAACUCGAUAUCUCUAGCAUUAUUUCAGAAAUUAUAAAAAUGUGAAAACACUAUUUUUAUUGUAAAAAAAAAAAAACAUUAAUUGUUCCUAACAAGUGAUUGAACUUAAGUUAUUUAGGUUAGUGAUGCCGUAAACAAGAUUGGUCUCAUUCACAAUUUUCUUUAUUAAAACAGGCUCGUAAAUUAACCUUUGAAAAAUAAUUCUUAAUUUUAACCAAGGUUUUGCGAAGGGAAAAAAUAAUAUAUCACAUUAAUUUUAACAGAGUCGUUUUUAUUAUAAAGUUUUGAAAAAUAAAUUAACAAUUUCAUUUUGAAACCACACAAGUUUAAAACACUGAGGUUAAUUUAUAAUUCUUAAUUUUUUUUGGAUUUCACCACCAAUUUAAUCUGGUUCGGCAAUUAGUUCUGGCAUCAAAUAAUUUCAGCCUAUUCCGAUUGCAGUUGCUAUCAUUCUUAAUUUUAACAAGCUAAGGUUUUGCGAAGCGAAAAAAUAAUAUCACAUUAAAAGAAACUAUAACGGCAGCUCAACUUAGCAAUUGAACUUUGUCAAAAGAAAAAAAACUUAGCAAUUGAACAUUGAACAAAUUGCAUGCAAAUCAUAUCGUACUCAAAUACAAACUCUCAUUCUUAUGUCUCAUUGAAAACAUGAGAUUCAUUUAUUGUCAACUUAGCAAGUUUUCUUUUAUCACUUGCAUUUUGGAAGUGGUUUGCCACACAAACACUUGUUAUGAAGAUAAGCAUACUCAUCAAACCUGUCCUGCAAUCUCCCAGUUCCACCCUGAGGUAUCGCACCACACAAUCUAUUAUAACUCACAUUAAACUGCUGCAAAUUUUCGACUUUCGUCAAUGCAACCGGAAUCUUCCCAUAAAUCUUAUUAUGAUUAAUAUCUAACCAUAUCAAACUCUGUUUCGGAAAAUCAACUUUUGAAAAAUCAAAUGACAAUAAAUUCCUCGAAACAUCAAGUAUUUGUGUCUUUUUCUUGCUCCCGAAAAGCACAGAAGCAUCACCUUCAAAUUUGUUUCUCGACAAGUCUAUCCUAUCAGGAUCUAAUUGGCCCAAUGAAGCCGGAAUAGGCCCAGAAAGCUGGUUGUGAGAUAAGAUGAGAUCUGGGCCGGGCUUUUUGAAUGACCCAAAUGAUUCUGGAAUUGGGCCCGUGAGCUUGUUUCGGUCCAAGUGCAAGGACUCGAGUUUAGGCAAUUGGGAAAGUGAGCUUGGUAUUGGGCCUGAGAGGUUAUUGGUGGAAAGGUGAAGAAGUUGAAGGUUUUUAAGUUCGGCCAAGAAAGGCGGUAUUGAACCUGAGACAUUGGUAUAUUCGAUAAAAAGAUAUUUGAGAUUUUUUAGUUUAGCGAUUGCGGGCUGAAUUGGGCCUGUGAGAUAAGGUAGUUUAUGGAAUGUGAGAGAUUCAAGGUAAGGGAGGUCACCUACCGAAGGAGGGAUAUGGCCCGAGAAAUUGGUGAAUGCCGGGCUAUCCAAAAUAUCG
rnacentral:lncRNA from 1 species